GAGAUGGAGAGCCCAGUCCUGCUCCGCUGAUCCGAUUAUGUUGCCCAGGCUGGAAUGCAGAGGUGCAAUCAUGGCUCACCGCAACUUCAAACUCCUGAACUCAAGCUAUCCUCCCACCGCAGGCUCCUGAGUAGCUGGGAAUACAGGCACACACUACUAUGCCUGGCUAAUAUUUUACAUUUUUGUAAAGAUGGGAUCUUGCUAUGUCACCCAGGCAAGUCUUGAACUCCUGGCCUCAAGUGAUCCUCCUGCCUUGGCCUCCCAAAGUGCUGGGAUUACAGGCAUGAGCCCCUGUGCUUGGCUGUCACUACUGUUUUCAUGUGGAAAGUGUGUUUGUAUCACUCCCUAGGUGAUUUUUGAGCCUGUAUAAAGUGCUCCUCCAGGACACUGGGUGCUGCAGUGGUCACCCAGCCAGGUAAGCUGUGGUUUCCAUUCCUUAAGGACUCUCCUUCUAAUCUAGUAGAUGGGAUACCUGCAGCCAAACAGCUACAAAGGAUAAUGGAGGGCAGCACCACGCCAUGUGAGCUCUGAGAGCAACAGACAUUGGG
rnacentral:lncRNA from 1 species